CAAAAGGAAUUUGGUAGCUGAACUUCGUGGCAUACCAUGAAGGAAGAAAUAUUAUGGGACUUACUGACCUCUGAAGAGUGCUGCAGACUUUGUAACCAAGCAAACCUGCGAUGAAAGGGAACAAAACAGGGAAGGAGAUGAAAAUUCCUGAAGACCAAGGAUGCUGGCAAAGAAGUCUCUGAAAAGAAUCUCAUAAGGAUAGAGAAGAUAAAAAUUGGUGGAGACAGAAGAGCCUUGAAUGUCAGGAAUUACAUUGGCUUUUUGAGCUUCUGGCUGUGAAGCCACGGCUAAUGCAAGUGUGUGGAGAUCUAAUAGCCAAGGGGACUUGUCUG